rnacentral:lncRNA from 1 species
GUUUUUUUACUAAAAACCACUAAAUGCCUCUUUUGCUGUGGUGCUGUGCCACUCCUGAGUCCAGCUGUGCAGAGCAGGUGUUCAGCUCCAAAGCUUGUUCCUCCCGUGGAGCUGCUGCCUGUGCUUGUCCCUGACUUGGAAAAACCCUUCCCAGACCAACUAAGGACUCCAAGGACUGAUCCCUGCUUCUUUUUUCGGAUCCCUGCUGCUUUUUUCCCCAAGACAGGAACUGGAAUUGUGCAUUUUUGCCGUUUACUCCUCAGCAGUAACAGAACUGUCCUUGUCAUGCCCUUGCUGUGUGAGUGGGUUGCACACACAGCUCUGCACUGCCUGCGACUGAGGGACCUCUGGCUGCCACUCAGGGUAAUUCCCUGCUCUUUCCAGCCAAGGAUUCAUGGAUGGAUGGGAUGGAUGAAUGGAUGCAGGUGCUGAAAAGCCACUCCUGGGGGGUACAGUGUGCUCCAGCACAGUGGGCUGUGCAGAGUGUUUGUACAUGUAAAGGAUUUGCCUGAGCUUUCCUACAUCUGAAAAGAUAUUCUAUUUUAUGGGUGCAGCAACUUAUUUCUCUCUGUGUUUAACUUUCUAUUCUAUUUUUCUAUUUCUAAUUUUCUGCAGGGGCUCUGGUGAUCUGUAGCCUCUGGAGCUACUCAGAGGAAGGACAUUUGUCCUCUGAGGAUUGCCCUGUUGGGAAGUGGAGGCAGCUCUGUUGGAUUCAGGUCUGGCUGCUUCUCCCUUGCUUUGUUCCCAACUUGCUGUUUGACUUCAGCCACAGGGGUUCACCUUCAAAGCACUGCACAGGGUGGACCUGCUGGAAAAGCUGCAGCCACAGUUUUGGAGAAGUUCCCUUUUGGCUGGGCCCAGGAAGGAGUGGGAAUGGUGCCACAUCCAGUGGUGUCCCUCAGGGAUCAGUGCUGGGCCCAGCCCUGGUCCAUCCCUUUAUUGAUGAUCUGGGUGAGGGGGUUGAGUGCACCCUUGGUAAAUUCAUGGAUCACACCGAGCUGGGUGGGAUGUGGCUGUGCUGGAGGGCAGGAAGGCUC